rnacentral:rRNA from 1 species
GACGAACGCUGGCGGCGUGCUUAACACAUGCAAGUCGAACGGAAAGGCCCUGCUUUUGUGGGGUGCUCGAGUGGCGAACGGGUGAGUAACACGUGAGUAACCUGCCCUUGACUUUGGGAUAACUUCAGGAAACUGGGGCUAAUACCGGAUAGGAGCUCCUGCUGCAUGGUGGGGGUUGGAAAGUUUCGGCGGAUGGGGAUGGACUCGCGGCUUAUCAGCUUGUUGGUGGGGUAGUGGCCUACCAAGGCUUUGACGGGUAGCCGGCCUGAGAGGGUGACCGGCGACAUUGGGACUGAGAUACGGCCCAGACUCCUACGGGAGGCAGCAGUGGGGAAUAUUGCACAAUGAGCGGGAGCGUGAUGCAGCAACGCCGCGUGCGGGAUGACGGCCUUCGGGUUGUAAACCGCUUUCGCCUGUGACGAAGCGUGAGUGACGGUAAUGGGUAAAGAAGCACCGGCUAACUACGUG